UACGAGGGGGGCGAGCGUUGUUCGGAAUUAUUGGGCGUAAAGGGUGCGUAGGCGGCUUUGUAAGUUAGAGGUGAAAGCCCAGGGCUUAACCCUGGAAUUGCCUUUAAGACUGCAUCGCUAGAAUUGUGGAGAGGUAAGUGGAAUUCCGAGUGUAGAGGUGAAAUUCGUAGAUAUUCGGAAGAACACCAGUGGCGAAGGCGACUUACUGGACACAUAUUGACGCUGAGGUGCGAAAGCGUGGGGAGCAAACAGG
rnacentral:rRNA from 1 species